AUUGAACGCUGGCGGCAGGCCUAACACAUGCAAGUCGAGCGAGCGGCGGACGGGUGAGUAAUGUCUGGGAAACUGCCUGAUGGAGGGGGAUAACUACUGGAAACGGUAGCUAAUACCGCAUACCAUCAGAUGUGCCCAGGUGGGAUUAGCUAGUAGGUGGGGUAACGGCUCACCUAGGCGACGAUCCCUAGCGGGUCUGAGAGGAUGACCAGCAACACGGGAACGGAGACAGGGUCCAGACGCCUAGGGGGGGCAGAAGGGGGGAAUAUGGCACAAGGGGCGCAAGCCUGAGGCAGCCAUGCGGGGGGUGGGAAGAAGGCCUGCGGGUGGUAAAGCACUUUCAGCGGGGAGGCGUUACCCGAAGAAGAAGCACCGGCGAACCCCGUGCAAGCAGCCGCGGUAUUC
rnacentral:rRNA from 1 species